rnacentral:pre_miRNA from 1 species
GAUUUCAACUGAAAUAGUCAUCAACAGCAAAGCUGUAUAACUCAUCAAUAUCUGUAACUUUUAUUUUGGUCAUUUCUUCAUCCUACAAAGUGGUAGUAAUAUUGUUCACGAAUUUUACGUAUAUCUCGUAUGGUUUUAUAAACUAGAAGAGAGAUAUGCCAAUUCUGUAAACAAUCUUACUAUCACUUUAUCGGAUGAAGAAAUGAUUAAAAUAAAAGUUGUAUAUCUUGAUGAGUUCUACAACUUUUAUGUUUAUGACUUUUUCAGAUGAAAAU